rnacentral:rRNA from 1 species
UUUAAAGUCUAACCUGCCCAAUGAUUAUUAAAUGGCCGCGGUAUAUUGACCGUGCAAAGGUAGCAUAAUAAUUAGUUUUUUAAUUGAAAGCUGGAAUGAAUGGUUGGACGAGAAAGCGGCUGUCUCGGGUUAAUUAAUAGAAUUUUAUUUUUGAGUGAAAAAGCUUAAAUUUAUUUAAAAGACGAGAAGACCCUAUAGAGUUUUAUAUAUUUAUUUAUAGUAAUUUGCAGGAAUUUAUAGUGUUAUUAUGAGUUAAUAUAUUUUGUUGGGGUGACAGAGAAAUUGGUAUAACUUUUUUUUUUAUAAACAUUUAUUUAUGAUUAGUUGAUCCGUUUUUUACGAUUAAAAGAUUAAAUUACCUUAGGGAUAACAGCGUAAUUUUCUUUUAGAGUUCCUAUCGAAAUGAGAGUUUGCGACCUCGAUGUUGGAUUAAAGUUAAUUUUUGGUGUAGUAGCUAAAUUGUUAGGUCUGUUCGACCUUUAAAAUUUUACA